AUGCGUUCUCAGGGCAGGGUGAAAAUCCCCACCGGUGGUAUUUGCGAGCAAUCGCAUGAGCCCGCGAGCGCUCGCUCUCCUUAUGAGAGCGAGGUCAGCAGAUCCGGUGUGAAUCCGGAGCCGACGGUCACAGUCCGGAUGGAAGAGAGCGCGA
rnacentral:ncRNA from 1 species